UGAGAAUUCUUUGUUUAGCUCUGCACCCC
rnacentral:piRNA from 1 species